rnacentral:rRNA from 1 species
UCAAGUGAAGAAGCGCAUACGGUGGAUGCCUUGGCAGUCAGAGGCGAUGAAAGACGUGGUAGCCUGCGAUAAGCUUUGGGGAGUCGGCAAACAGACUGUGAUCCAGAGAUCUCUGAAUGGGGGAACCCACUCAGCAUAAGCUGAGUAUCUUGUACUGAAUACAUAGGUGCAAGAGGCGAACCAGGGGAACUGAAACAUCUAAGUACCCUGAGGAAAAGAAAUCAACCGAGAUUCCCUUAGUAGUGGCGAGCGAACGGGGACCAGCCCUUAAGUUGGUUUGAGAUUAGUGGAACGCUCUGGAAAGUGCGGCCAUAGUGGGUGAUAGCCCCGUACACGAAAAUCUCUUAUCAAUGAAAUCGAGUAGGACGGAGCACGAGAAACUUUGUCUGAAUAUGGGGGGACCAUCCUCCAAGGCUAAAUACUACUGACUGACCGAUAGUGAACUAGUACCGUGAGGGAAAGGCGAAAAGAACCCCGGAGAGGGGAGUGAAAUAGAUCCUGAAACCGUAUGCGUACAAGCAGUGGGAGCCUACUUUGUUAGGUGACUGCGUACCUUUUGUAUAAUGGGUCAGCGACUUAUAUUCAGUGGCGAGCUUAACCGAAUAGGGGAGGCGUAGCGAAAGCGAGUCUUAAUAGGGCGUUUAGUCGCUGGGUAUAGACCCGAAACCGGGCGAUCUAUCCAUGGGCAGGUUGAAGGUUAGGUAACACUGACUGGAGGACCGAACCGACUACCGUUGAAAAGUUAGCGGAUGACCUGUGGAUCGGAGUGAAAGGCUAAUCAAGCUCGGAGAUAGCUGGUUCUCCUCGAAAGCUAUUUAGGUAGCGCCUCAUGUAUCACUGUAGGGGGUAGAGCACUGUUUCGGCUAGGGGGUCAUCCCGACUUACCAAACCGAUGCAAACUCCGAAUACCUACAAGUGCCGAGCAUGGGAGACACACGGCGGGUGCUAACGUCCGUCGUGAAAAGGGAAACAACCCAGACCGUCAGCUAAGGUCCCAAAGUCAUGGUUAAGUGGGAAACGAUGUGGGAAGGCUUAGACAGCUAGGAGGUUGGCUUAGAAGCAGCCACCCUUUAAAGAAAGCGUAAUAGCUCACUAGUCGAGUCGGCCUGCGCGGAAGAUGUAACGGGGCUCAAACCAUGCACCGAAGCUACGGGUAUCAACCUUNNNNNNNNNNNNNNNNNNNNNNNNNNNNNNNNNNNNNNNNNNNNNNNNNNNNNNNNNNNNNNNNNNNNNNNNNNNNNNNNNNNNNNNNNNNNGGUGAUGCGGUAGAGGAGCGUUCUGUAAGCCUGUGAAGGUGAGUUGAGAAGCUUGCUGGAGGUAUCAGAAGUGCGAAUGCUGACAUGAGUAACGACAAUGGGAGUGAAAAACUCCCACGCCGAAAGACCAAGGUUUCCUGCGCAACGUUAAUCGACGCAGGGUUAGUCGGUCCCUAAGGCGAGGCUGAAAAGCGUAGUCGAUGGAAAACAGGUUAAUAUUCCUGUACUUCCAGUUAUUGCGAUGGAGGGACGGAGAAGGCUAGGCCAGCUUGGCGUUGGUUGUCCAAGUUUAAGGUGGUAGGCUGAGAUCUUAGGCAAAUCCGGGAUCUCAAGGCCGAGAGCUGAUGACGAGUUGCCUUUAGGCGACGAAGUGGUUGAUGCCAUGCUUCCAAGAAAAGCUCCUAAGCUUCAGAUAACUGGGAACCGUACCCCAAACCGACACAGGUGGUUAGGUAGAGAAUACCAAGGCGCUUGAGAGAACUCGGGUGAAGGAACUAGGCAAAAUGGCACCGUAACUUCGGGAGAAGGUGCGCCGGCGAGGGUUAAGGACUUGCUCCGUAAGCCCAUGCCGGUCGAAGAUACCAGGCCGCUGCGACUGUUUAUUAAAAACACAGCACUCUGCAAACACGAAAGUGGACGUAUAGGGUGUGACGCCUGCCCGGUGCCGGAAGGUUAAUUGAUGGGGUUAGCGCAAGCGAAGCUCUUGAUCGAAGCCCCGGUAAACGGCGGCCGUAACUAUAACGGUCCUAAGGUAGCGAAAUUCCUUGUCGGGUAAGUUCCGACCUGCACGAAUGGCGUAACGAUGGCGGCGCUGUCUCCACCCGAGACUCAGUGAAAUUGAAAUCGCUGUGAAGAUGCAGUGUAUCCGCGGCUAGACGGAAAGACCCCGUGAACCUUUACUAUAGCUUUGCACUGGACUUUGAAUUUGCUUGUGUAGGAUAGGUGGGAGGCUUUGAAGUGGGGACGCCAGUUCUCAUGGAGCCAUCCUUGAAAUACCACCCUGGCAACUUUGAGGUUCUAACUCAGGUCCGUUAUCCGGAUCGAGGACAGUGUAUGGUGGGUAGUUUGACUGGGGCGGUCUCCUCCCAAAGAGUAACGGAGGAGUACGAAGGUGCGCUCAGACCGGUCGGAAAUCGGUCGUAGAGUAUAAAGGCAAAAGCGCGCUUGACUGCGAGACAAACACGUCGAGCAGGUACGAAAGUAGGUCUUAGUGAUCCGGUGGUUCUGUAUGGAAGGGCCAUCGCUCAACGGAUAAAAGGUACUCCGGGGAUAACAGGCUGAUACCGCCCAAGAGUUCAUAUCGACGGCGGUGUUUGGCACCUCGAUGUCGGCUCAUCACAUCCUGGGGCUGAAGCCGGUCCCAAGGGUAUGGCUGUUCGCCAUUUAAAGUGGUACGCGAGCUGGGUUUAGAACGUCGUGAGACAGUUCGGUCCCUAUCUGCCGUGGACGUUUGAGAUUUGAGAGGGGCUGCUCCUAGUACGAGAGGACCGGAGUGGACGAACCUCUGGUGUUCCGGUUGUCACGCCAGUGGCAUUGCCGGGUAGCUAUGUUCGGAAGAGAUAACCGCUGAAAGCAUCUAAGCGGGAAACUUGCCUCAAGAUGAGAUCUCACUGGGAUCUUGAAUCCCCUAAAGGGCCGUCGAAGACUACGACGUUGAUAGGUUGGGUGUGUAAGCGCUGUGAGGCGUUGAGCUAACCAAUACUAAUUGCCCGUGAGGCUUGACCA